rnacentral:rRNA from 1 species
UGCAAGUCGAACGGCAGCACGGACUUCGGUCUGGUGGCGAGUGGCGAACGGGUGAGUAAUACAUCGGAACGUGCCCAGUCGUGGGGGAUAACGUAGCGAAAGCUACGCUAAUACCGCAUACGAUCUAAGGAUGAAAGCGGGGGAUCGCAAGACCUCGCGCGAUUGGAGCGGCCGAUGGCAGAUUAGGUAGUUGGUAGGGUAAAGGCCUACCAAGCCGACGAUCUGUAGCUGGUCUGAGAGGAUGAUCAGCCACACUGGGACUGAGACACGGCCCAGACUCCUACGGGAGGCAGCAGUGGGGAAUUUUGGACAAUGGACGCAAGUCUGAUCCAGCCAUUCCGCGUGCAGGAUGAAGGCCCUCGGGUUGUAAACUGCUUUUGUACAGAACGAAAAGGCUCUGGUUAAUACCUGGGGCUCAUGACGGUACUGUAAGAAUAAGCACCGGCUAACUACGUGCCAGCAGCCGCGGUAAUACGUAGGGUGCAAGCGUUAAUCGGAAUUACUGGGCGUAAAGCGUGCGCAGGCGGUUAUGUAAGACAGAGGUGAAAUCCCCGGGCUCAACCUGGGAACUGCCUUUGUGACUGCAUAGCUAGAGUACGGUAGAGGGGGAUGGAAUUCCGCGUGUAGCAGUGAUAUGCGUAGAUAUGCGGAGGAACACCGAUGGCGAAGGCAAUCCCCUGGACCUGUACUGACGCUCAUG